rnacentral:lncRNA from 1 species
GUCUGAUCUCCCACUAGUCUCUUUUCCAGGUACACACCCAUCAAAGCACGGUGAUCUCAGAGUCGGAGAAGAUAAUGCUGCUCCUACUGCUGCUUCUUCUGAUGAUAACGACGGCGAAGAAGUGGUGGUGGAGGAACCUUGUGAAGGCCGGCUGCCGAACCUCGACCGUUGAUCACUGGUAAAAACUCGACGAAUCGAUGGUGAGGAUUUUGUCAGGGAUGCUCCAGAAAACAUAGUAAGGCUCUGAGGCUCCCUGUAUCCCUGAUCUUGAAAAAGAAAUUUGGUGGGUCGGGGAAAACCAGAUCAAUAUAAAGAAGAGAGCGGACGGUGCAAAGAUUCGUUGACCGAGAAAGAUGGAAUUUUGAUUUCUUGAAGUUUGACCGAGACUCGUUUCAGCUUAUAACGGUUUUUCAUCGGUGCCCGCCAUUUUCUUUCCCUUCCUUCUUUUUUUUUUUUGGUCCUUUAUUUUUUUUUUUCAGAAAAAUAUUUUAAAUUUUUAUUAAAUAUAUAUUAAUAUUUACUUGAAAAUUCC